AUUGAACGCUGGCGGCAGGCCUAACACAUGCAAGUCGAGCGGAGCGGCGGACGGGUGAGUAAUGCCUAGGAAUCUGCAUGGUAGUGGGGGAUAACGUACGGAAACGGGCGCUAAUACCGCAUACUAGCAGAUGAGCCUAGGUCGGAUUCGCUAGUUGGUGGGGUAAAGGCAUCCCACGCCGACGAUCCGUAACUGGUCUGAGAGGAUGAUCAGUCACACUGGAACUGAGACACGGUCCAGACUCCUACGGGAGGCAGCAGUGGGGAAUUGUGGACAAUGGGGGAAACCCUGAUCCAGCCAGCCCGCGUGUGCUAUGAAGGCCUUCGGGUUGUAAAGCACUUUUGGCAGGAAAGCGGUACCUGCAGAAUAAGCACCGUCUAACUACGUGCCAGCAGCCGCGGUAAUAC
rnacentral:rRNA from 1 species